UACGUAGGGUGCAAGCGUUAAUCGGAAUUACUGGGCGUAAAGCGUGCGCAGGCGGUUUGCUAAGACAGGUGUGAAAUCCCCGGGCUCAACCUGGGAACUGCAUCUGUGACUGCAUAGCUAGAGUACGGUAGAGGGGGAUGGAAUUCCGCGUGUAGCAGUGAAAUGCGUAGAUAUGCGGAGGAACACCGAUGGCGAAGGCAAUCCCCUGGACCUGUACUGACGCUCAUGCACGAAAGCGUGGGGAGCAAACAGG
rnacentral:rRNA from 1 species